UUCAAAAGUUCACUUUUCGCGCUUGUUGCAGAAAACGCUGUAUGCAACAAGUUCCGAAAAGUAGUUGUUUUCGUCACACGAUGUGAUUAUCAACUCACAUCUUGUGACGAAAACAACCAUUUUUCGCAGCUUG